UUUCCGUAGGUGAACCUGCGGAAGGAUCAUUAUUGUAUAACCGAGGUGCGAGGGCUGUCGCUGACCCGAAAGUUCGUGUACGCACGAGUGCCCUCACACCCAUCCAUCUAACCCCUAUGUGGACCACCUCGUGGGUCCCCCUUUGGCUUGUUCGGCGGGGGGCUAACGUUUACAAACAAACAUUGUAUGUACUGUAGAAUGUGUUUUUUGUUUUUGCGAACACGCAAUCAAUAAAACUUUAAACCAUGGUUCUCUUGGCGCUCGCAACGCUGAAGAACG
rnacentral:misc_RNA from 1 species